UACGUAGGGUGCGAGCGUUAAUCGGAAUUACUGGGCGUAAAGCGUGCGCAGGCGGUUUUGUAAGCCAGAUGUGAAAUCCCCGGGCUUAACCUGGGAAUGGCAUUUGGGACUGCAAGGCUGGAGUUUGGCAGAGGAGACUGGAAUUCCUGGUGUAGCAGUGAAAUGCGUAGAUAUCGGAAGGAACACCUGUGGCGAAAGCGGCUCACUGGACCAUUACUGACGCUGAGGCACGGAAGCUAGGGGAGCAAACAGG
rnacentral:rRNA from 1 species